ACCCUUUUCUAGUUCAUAAACAUGAUGAUUGGGUUCUCAGCGCUUGUGACAUGUGCCUCCCUCUAAAUCUUGUUAUGACAUGGGCAUAUUACACAUCUACA
rfam:Dipodomys ordii contig_13629, whole genome shotgun sequence.